rnacentral:rRNA from 1 species
UACGUAGGGGGCAAGCGUUGUCCGGAUUUAUUGGGCGUAAAGAGCGUGUAGGCGGCCAGGUAGGUCUGCUGUGAAAACUCGAGGCUUAACCUCGAGAUGUCGGCGGAAACCAUCUGGCUAGAGUUCGGGAGAGGACGGCGGAAUUCCCAGUGUAGAGGUGAAAUUCGUAGAUAUUGGGAAGAACACCGGACGGCGAAGGCAGCCGUCUGGACCGACACUGACGCUGAGGAGCGAAAGCGUGGGGAGCGAACAGGA